rnacentral:rRNA from 1 species
CCUACGGGUGGCAGCAGUGAGGAAUAUUGGUCAAUGGGCGCGCGCCUGAACCAGCCAAGUAGCGUGAAGGAUGACUGCCCUACGGGUUGUAAACUUCUUUUAUAAAGGAAUAAAGUGAGGCACGUGUGCCCUUUUGUAUGUAAUUUAUGAAUAAGGAUCGGCUAACUCCGUGCCAGCAGCCGCGGUGAUAAGGAGGAUCCGAGCGUUAUCCGGGUUUUUUGGGUUUAAAGGGAGCGUAGAUGGGUUGUUAAGGCCAUUGUGAAAGUUGGCGGCUCAACCGUAAAAUUGCAAUUGAUACUGGCAGUCUUGAGUACAGUUGAGGUAGGUGGAAUUCGUGGUGUAGCGGUGAAAUGCUUAGAUAUCACGAAGAACCCCGAUUGCGAAGGCAGCUUACUAAACUGUGACUGACAUUGAUGCUCGAAAGUGUGGGUAUCAAACAGGAUUAGAUACCCUAGUAGUC